AUGAGGACCCCUACUCAGCUCCUGGGGUUGCUGCUGCUCUGGCUUACAGGUGCCAGAUGUGACAUCCAGAUGACCCAGUCUCCAGCCUCUCUGUCUUCAACUCUGGGAGACAGUAUCUCCAUCACUUGCCGGGCAAGUGAGAACAUUUACAGUAACUUAGCAUGGUAUCAGCAGAAACCAGGGAAAUCUCCUAAGCUCCUGAUCUAUAAUGCAAAGAGUUUGGCAGAUGGGGUCCCAUCGAGGUUCAGUGGCAGUGGAUCUGGCACAGAAUAUUCUCUCAAGAUCAGCAGCCUGCAGCCUGAAGAUAUUGCAACUUAUUACUGUCAACAGUAUUGGAAUACCCCACCCACAGUAAUUUAA